CUGGAUAAUCCUCUAAGUAUUGCAAUAUCCUAAUACUGUAAUAUGAUAUAUAUGCUCUCCUUUCUCUUUCAAAAAUAUUGUAAAUGCCACUGCUGUUUUGUUGUUGUCUGUUUGUUUUUAAUUUGGAAUGCAUUUCUGCUUUACAGGGGUAACCCAGUGACACUGAAUCUGGGAGUCUGAUGAAAGCUUCCCCUUGGGAUUACUGUUGCACAAACACAACUACCAACAGCUAAGGGAUAACUGCUCUGACUGUCAAGCUGAGCUAAUGACAGAUCUGAAGAAGUGUCAACACUGCAACCGAAAAAGCUCGAAGCAGCAGGAAUGUCGUUCGCAGGGGAGAUGGGAGUCACAACAAAUACACUUUUCAGGGUUGGUUACUCCUGACUAAUGGCAUGCCGUUUUCAGCAAGUAAAGCCAAAACCUUGCCCACAGACAGCAGCACUCUCCAGAGGAGUCCUGUGCCUGCUCUGAGCAGCAGCAGAUUAGAACAAGAAGUGCUCAAGCACAUCCUCACUGCCAAGCUUUCUUUGGAAAAGAGCCGUAACUCUGUAACUUUGGACUAAGAAACUGAGAACAUCGAGGCAUUUCUAAACCUACCAACUGUUGAUAUCAGGGUAGGAGCCCCAACAUCCUCUCUCUGUGUCUUGGAUGGCCAAAAGCAUGGUGAAUGACUGUUUUAAUGGUGAGUAACCCGUACAAAGCCCCCUGGAUCUGCAGAAAUCUGAGUCUUCUUCCUUGGCUGCAAUGGUAGCAGAGUGCUGAGAAUCAGGCAGGAUUGUGCCCAUAGCUCAGUUCAAAAAGAUGUGCCAGAUUAGUAGGCAUAAUCAAGGAUGACAUUGAGUAAGAGGCAAGAAUAACUAAUCAGAUGCUAACUUAGCUGAUGCUGGCAUUACUGAAAGCCUGGGGACAUAGUCCAAGGUAAAAACAUAACGUCUUAUCUAACCAAGGAGUCAUUUGUGCACCACUGGUUACAACACAUACUUAAAAAAGGAAAGAAGGAAAAAGUAUCUAUGGCACAUGAAAUUAUUUUAUGCCCCAGAAAUGAUAAGAAAAGAAAGGUAAGUGUUCCUGCACCCAAUCUUUAUUGGGGAAAAGCCCAUCUAGAGUUAACCCAUUGCAAAGUCUACUGUAAGUAAGUCCCCAGGAUGUGGACAAAUCCUGGCUGCCCACAU
rnacentral:lncRNA from 1 species